rnacentral:rRNA from 1 species
AGCGAACGCUGGCGGCAGGCCUAACACAUGCAAGUCGAACGGUCCUUCGGGACAGUGGCGGACGGGUGAGUAACGCGUGGGAACGUGCCCUUAGGUUCGGAACAACUCAGGGAAACUUGAGCUAAUACCGAAUGUGCCCUACGGGGGAAAGAUUUAUCGCCUUUGGAGCGGCCCGCGUCUGAUUAGCUAGUUGGUGAGGUAAAGGCUCACCAAGGCUACGAUCAGUAGCUGGUCUGAGAGGAUGAUCAGCCACACUGGGACUGAGACACGGCCCAGACUCCUACGGGAGGCAGCAGUGGGGAAUCUUGCGCAAUGGGCGAAAGCCUGACGCAGCCAUGCCGCGUGAAUGAUGAAGGUCUUAGGAUUGUAAAAUUCUUUUCACCGGGGACGAUAAUGACGGUACCCGGAGAAGAAGCCCCGGCUAACUUCGUGCCAGCAGCCGCGGUAAUACGAAGGGGGCUAGCGUUGCUCGGAAUUACUGGGCGUAAAGGGCGCGUAGGCGGACAGUUU